UGUUAUUAGUUUGUCUUCUUCUUUGGUCGCGUACGGGUGUGUCGCGGCCGUCGAUUUAAAUUGCGUCGGCGGCAUUGUUUAUAAAAUCAGUUCACCGAACAGCGUUCGCGCGAUUGUGUUUGUGUUAAAGUUCUUCUGCGCGUUGUUUAUAUCGAAAGAAAGAGCUAAACGAACGUAGGGUGAGGCGCAAAGACAGCGAACGAGUGCCGUCACAUUUUUUGCUCAGCAAAACAGAAACAACAAUUGACGCCGGCAUUGGCUUGAAAAAAAAA